rnacentral:rRNA from 1 species
AGAGUUUGAUCCUGGCUCAGCCUGAACGCUGGCGGCGUGGCUAAGACAUGCAAGUCGAACGGGUGUAGCAAUACACCAGUGGCGGACGGGUGAGUAAUGUAUCGCUAACGUACCGCGGAGCCUGGGAUAGCCGGCCGAAAGGCCGGGUAAUACCAGAUGAGACCACGGGAGGGCAUCCUCCAGUGCUCAAAGCCGCAAGGCACUCUGUGAGCGGGCGAUAUCGUAUCAGCUAGUUGGUGAGGUAACGGCUUACCAAGGCGACGACGCGUAGCUGGUCUGAGAGGACGGCCAGCCACAUUGGGACUGAGACACUGCCCAGACUCCUACGGGGGGCUGCAGUAACGAAUCUUCCGCAAUGCACGAAAGUGUGACGGAGCGACGCCGCGUGGAGGACGAAGUCCUUCGGGAUGUAAACUCCUGUCAGGGGUUACCAAGUUCUGAGGAGCCCCAGAGGAAGGCACGGCUAACUCUGUGCCAGCAGCCGCGGUAAGACAGAGGUGCCGAGCGUUAGGCGGAAUCACUGGGCUUAAAGCGUGUGUAGGCGGAUGCCUAAGUACCUUGUGAAAUCCCACGGCUUAACCGUGGAACUGCUGGGUAUACUGGGUGUCUUGAGCCAACUAGGGGCUACCGGAACAGAUGGUGGAGCGGUGAAAUGCGUAGAUAUCAUCUGGAACGCCUGCGGUGAAAACGGGUAGCUGGGGUUGUGCUGACGCUGAGACACGAAAGCCAGGGGAGCGAACGGGAUUAGAUACCCCGGUAGUCCUGGCCCUAAACGAUGUCCACUAGGCCGCGGGAGCUCUGACGCUCUCGCGGCCGGAGCAAAGUGUUAAGUGGACCGCCUGGGAAGUACGGUCGCAAGGCUAAAACUCAAAGGAAUUGACGGGGGCUCACACAAGCGGUGGAGCAUGUGGUUUAAUUCGAAGCAACGCGCAGAACCUUACCUGGGC